ACAGCAAGUCAUAGAACCUCUUGGAACCCCAGUUUCCACAUCUGGAAGAAGGGGCAGAAUAGUAUCAAAAAUGCUUCACUCCCAGGAACAUGGUGAGCAUAAAAUUAAAUAAUGAAAAAAGGUCAACUAUAAAGCACUAAAUAAAUGUAAGAUGGUGAAUCUGACAGAGGAAGAAUUAAAUGACUUGUUCAAGGUCACCUUUGAGGAAUUUGCAGGAAGUUUAAUUUAUGUAUAUUUUUCCCCUGUACCCCAGAUGGAGUCUCGCUCUGUUGCCCAGGCUGGAGUGCAGUGGCACCAUCUUGGCUCACUGCAACUUCCGCCUCCCAGGUUCAAGAGAUCCUCCUGCCUCAGCCCCACUAGUAGCUGGGAUUACAGGGAAAUCUAUUAUGGGAUGGCCUGGAUAUGUCACUUUAAAAAUCCUGCCUUUAAUGAACAAAUGAGAGAAGAGAUGAGGUUUCACCAUGUUGCCUGAGCUGGUCUCCAACUUCUAGGCUCAAGCAGUCUGCCCUCCUUGGCCUCCCAAAGUGCUGAGAAUACAGACCAAGAAAUUGAGCUACAGUGAGGUCACACAGCCGACAUCACACAGUGAAGAGCUGGAAUUUGAGCCUAGAAUACUCUGACCUCAGAGUCUGGAUGCUAGUCUCUUGCUGCCUCCCCUGUGUUAUGAGGUCAUGUCUAAAUCACCUCUGUUAUUGAAAAUGCUUAUGAAAGACCUAUUCUGCCUGCUGGAUAGAGCAAUCACCUUAUUCAAGUAUGACCCAAAUGUUGCCAUUAGGUCCUACCCAACCCCAUCAAAGAUCAGAACCUGGAGGUGUGGUAACUCCCUCCUGUCCAAAAAAAAAAAAAAAAAAACACCCCAGUAGGUCAGAGUAAAGAGCUGCUCUAAGCCAUCACUGGGAGGGUUAAGUUAAAGAAUAGAAAGAUGUAACCUGACCCAAAACUUAGCUCUCAUUUUUAACAGGCAAGAGCUCCUUGCAGGGUGACCUUGAGUCAGACCCACGAUUCAAUUUUUUUGUUGUUGUUGUUUUCUUUUUGGAAUGACAAUAACAAUGUCUGCCCAGCAUCCACCACUUUAAGUUGGUGUUUACAAUAGAACUGACACAGCCCCUUAAGCAGGCUCUCGCGUGCAGAGUUAAAUCUCCCCUUGCACACAGAGCAGAUCAUCAGGCUCCCUCCAGCCCCAGGACCUUUCUCUAACCAUAAAAAGGCAAUUGUACCCCUAAAUCCCAAAUCCUUACCUAUCCCUGCUGCACCCAGCUGUGCAAGGUGAGUCCUAGGAGGUCACAUCCCCCACAAUCCCACAUUUUCUCAUCAGUAUCCUUUGCUAGUUCCAGAUAUUGCAACAUCACUGCUGUUCCAGAUUAGAACUUAAGAACUCGAAAAGGUCAGGAAAGAUGUGGUGCCUUGUCUCCACAUCAAGUAAACAGUCCGUGGCAUUGGCUUCUGACAAGUGACAACAGACUCACGGGGCAGUAGUUGAGGAGCUGUGCUUAUGUGAUACUUACCAUCCUGAGAAGUGUGGAUGUAUGGGGAUGCCCAUACCCAGGUAACCCAACCCCAUGGAUUCAGACCAGUGGUGAACACUAGAGAAUCUUCAUCAUUUGCUCAGCUGUCACCACUUCCACAGGUGCAAGAAAUGACCGAUCGUUCCAGAGGAUGACCCUAUCAAAUAGAAAAGGGAGUGUAUUAGAUGUCAUCCAGCCGGUCGUAUAGAAAGGUGGCCUUUAAGAAAUUGUGGUUAAUAUUGGAAGGAAACAUAAGGCAGAUUUUAAAGCUAUUUUCAUAGUCUUCAAAGAGAAAUAAAUGACCAGCGCCGAGGGCUGCAGACAGCAGGACAGGCAGCCUGA